rnacentral:lncRNA from 1 species
CUUGACGGUGGAGAUGACGUUGUCUAGAAGAUUUAUGUGCUGGCUCCGUCCUUGUCCUGGCGUAGGCGUCGCGUCCUACUCCAUGGAGUCAGUGGUUCUCGCAACUCUUCUUUUGGUGUUUUUGGUUUUUUUCCUUGUCAAUUCAUCAACAGAGAAGCAGUUUCACAGCUUGCCUUGUAAGGGGUGUGUCCCCGGCCGUGGUGCGUUCGACGAUCUUAGGUUCCCAUUGUUUGAGGUGGGCGACUCAAGUGGCUUUUUAAAACCUAUAAGGUUAGUCCAGCUUGUGCAAGCAUGAUGUUCUGCAAUUCCGUUACCGGUUACACGGAGAAAUGUCAAGAUGCGGAAGAUAGAUCUAGAGAUGUUGAUCUCGGAAGACCAUGAUGGAGCUUUUAGUUCUAUAGUGGAUUUUUGUUCCUUAUGUUCGUUUAGCUUGUUUCGAUCUAUUGUACUUUCUUCUAUGAAUCAAUAAAGCCAGAAGGUUCUCAAAAAAAAAAAGCAGCAAUCACAGAGAAAAUCAACACUCACACAGGAAAACAACACAUGAUUAUAAACAAUUGCAGCAUUUAAUGCUUGUAAUUUCAGCACAUUACAUUUUAUUUUUACUUAAUAUAUCAGACUACAUGACAGAGAUACAACUCAAAGUAUAAGUAAACACUUGCAACGAAUAGAGGCAACAAUUGGCUCAAGAUUGGGAGUGACAACCUAAGAAAUUAAAAGACAUUACAGAGAGAAAAAACAAUAAACAUGAAACUAAGCCCCCGAGGGUCGAGUCGGCGCGAUUCGAGCAAGCUCGGGACUUCUUUUCUUGAUAAACAAAAUGAUUGUAAUCCCCGAGGGUUGAGUCGGCUUAUCUGAAAUGUCCCCAAGAAUCAAUCUGAUUUUACUCGUCUCUGUUUCUCAGAGUCAAAAUCACCUAUAUAGAUAGGGAAAAAAAAUCUAUCCGGCGCCCGCACAUCCAGCGCAUCCAGCGCCCGCGCGGCCGCACAUGAAGCUAUCCGGCGCCUUGCCCAACGGCUGCGUCUUCUUCGCCUUCGCUCACGACGCGGCUGACGGCGGCCGGUCGUCCGCGAGGAGCAACCGCGUUGUCCUCGUCCUCGUCAACCCCAUCACCGGCGCGGCCCAGAGCGUCGAGGUGUACACGCCCGAGAGCCUGUCUGGGUUGAUCCAUGCAUGGCCAAGGUGUUGUUUGUGGCCGUGAGUGUUGAUCCAUGGCCAAGGUGCACUUCGUCAGUAUGAACCGGCUUGCUGCAGAAUGUCAGAACUUGUCAUAUGUUGGUAAUUAAAUGGAGGUUACUUCAAUUACUCGAAGCUAUUGAUAUCUUCCAAAAGUAUGUAAACCCCAUUUUUAUCUAUGACAAGCAGGGGAAAAAAAUGUUAAACACACAAUUAAAAGAACUAACUUCCCUAAUAAUUUUUUUAAUUGUGGUUUUAACAUUUCUUUUUAUAUACCAGCUUCUCAUAAUAUCUUCCAAAGGGAAUUCCCAUUCCUAACCAUGGUCUGCAUGGUGGCAGGCGGAAACCUAGGGUCAUUCUCCUGCAUGAUGUCCACCAGGAAAUCAAACGUAUCAUUCCUGGAGACCAUAGCGGCGAUGUCAUUCUUCUGCAGCGUCCUCCUAUUGUCACUCCACGAUGGUAACUAGGUACGGUACAACAUACAAAUAAGCACAGUCAACCACAAUAAGACAUUAAUCGCCCGGCUUGAUGAUUAUUCCGCCUCAGCUACGCUCAUUCAUCUUGUCCACCACUGGAAGGCGGCUGUUGCUGCUCACCAUUGUAAGGCGGCUGAUGCUGCUGCUCACCGUUGUGAGGCGACUGCUGCUGCUGCGGCUGCGGCCACGCGAAAGGAACUGGUUGCUGGUUUCCACAGUACAUUUCAAAGGUGCCCAUUCCUGGGACCAUGGUCUGCAUGGUCCCAGUCGGCAACCCCGCACCAUUGUCCUGCAUGAUGUCCACAAGGAAAUCAAAGGCCUCGUUCCUGGAGACCGCAGCGGCGAUGUCAUUCUUCUGCAGCGUCCUCCUAUUAUUUUCUCUGGUUUGGAGCCACGAUCUCAGCGUCAGCUCCUGGAUGAAGAUCUCACACGCCUUAGCUAGGAGCCCAUGCGCCUCCCCCGCGAUCAUCUGGACAUUCUCCCCGCUAGCCUUCAUGAUCUUCUUGAUCCUCGCAAGGGGAAGGCUGUGGGUCUUGAAGUCGCUCAUGUGCUCGAUCUCAUCCAGCCGGUCGCUCCAGAAGGCCUGAAGCUGUUGCUGGUGCUGGUCCUCCUGCUGCAUUGGGAGGGCUGCAUAGACUGGACCACCAUAGGGUCCUACAUGAAAGACGGUACCUGCGGGAAAGACGACGCCUGCUGGCGCAGGUCCAGAUUCCGUCCCUGCCAAAUAUGCUACAGAUGUGUCGUUUGUGGCAUCCGCCUCUGUCCUUGGCUGCGAGUGUUGAUCCAUGGCCAAAAGAUACAUGCACUUAUGUCUUAACCUGGAACAUAACGGGAGAACUUGUCAUAUGUUGGUAAUUUAAACAGGGUUCCGUAAAACAUGAUGCUAAGUAUAUCUUUCAACGAGUAGAUAAACUCCUUAAUUUUUUUCUAUGAGAAGCACGAAGAAAAUAUUAAAACCACAAUUAAAAGAACUAACUUUCCUAAAAAACAGACACAAUUAACUUCCCUGAAAAUUCAAAUAACUAGACACAAUUACACAACUAAUGUAUUAUCAUAUCCAUUUGCACCUGGAGUAGUUAUAUGUAAAUACAUAUCAAUUUUUUUUUGCUUUUGCUUACACAUAAUUACAGCGUCCUCCUAUUUUUUUCUCUGGUUUGGAGCCAUGAUCUCAGCGUCAGCUCCUGGAUGAAGAUCUCACACGCCUUAGGUAGGACCCCAGGCGCCUCCCCCGCGAUCAUGUGGACAUUCUCCCCGCUAGCCUUCAUGAUCUUCUUGAUCCUCGCAAGGGGAAGGCUGUGGAUCUUAAAGUCGCUCAUGUGCUCGAUCUCAUCCAGCCGGUCGGUCCAGAAGGCCUGAAGCUGCUGCUGGUGCUGGUCCUCCUGUUUCACUGGGGUGGCCGCAUAGAUUGGACCACCACGGGGUCCUACAUGAAAGACGGUACCUGCAGGAAAGAUGACUCCUACUGGCGCAACUCCAUAUACUGUCCCUGCCACAUAUGCUACAGGUGUGUCGUUUGUGGCAUCCGCCUCUGUCCUUGGCUGCGAGUGUUGAUUCAUGGCCAAAAGAUGCACUUAUGUCCUUCGGGGUUGGCUCCUAUUUUUCUCUCUGGGUUGGAGCUACGAUCUCAGCGUCUCUAGGAUGAAGAUCUCACACCCCUUAAUUAGCCAAGACCCCAGGCACCUCCCUUGCGACCAUCAGGACUUCUCUGGGGCAGCCUUCAUGAUCUUCUUGAUCCGCGGCCUCGCGAGAGGAACGUUGUGGGUCUUGAACUCCGAUAUCUGCUCGAUCUCAGCCAUCCGGUCGGUCCAGAAGUCCUGAAGCUGUUGCCGGGGGGUUGGUCCUCCUGCUGGAGUGGGGUGGUCGCGAUUGGGACACCCUCGGAGCCUAUAGGGUGAGUAAAUUAUGGAUUAGCCAUACUACGUUGAGUAAAGAAAUUGUAUAUGUAUAUUUAUUUAGUUCGUUUUUGCUUAGAUUAAGGUUUACCCUUUCAAAGAAAAAUGUCCUCUUUCUGGAUUAUGCAAGACAUGGCUUGUGUCAUAUGCACAUUGGGUUAGCCAGGAUGUGUCAUUCCCACAUUGGAUUAGCCAGGAUGUGUUAUACACACAUUGGGCUAGCCAUUGUGUCCUACACACAUUGGGUUAGCCAUUGUGUCCUACACACAUUGGGUUAGCCAUGAUGUGUCAUACACACAUUGGGUUAGCCACACUGUGUCAUACAUAAAUUUCCUUUCCCACGCAGCCAUUUCAAGGUGAUGUAAAAGGGUCUAGGUAUUUGAAAAAGAUGUCGAUGUUGGUUCCUGGAGUCCAAAGAUCUAUCGUUCGUUUGAAGAAGAGAAAUGAGUUGAGAGAUCAAUUCUUCAUGCUUUAGGAAUUAGGAUGUAGCAUGCAGGUUCGAAUCAUAGUGUUGUAGCACACUAAAUAUAAAACUUCUGUUUGUCGAUCCGUGGCAAUGCAUGUGCAUUUUACUAGUAGAUACUAGUAAUUAAUAGAUAAUGGGAGAGACUAAUUGGCGGUCGACCGCCAAAACCUACCUCGGCAGCCUAAUCCCAAUGGUUUUUCUUUUGCUAUUUUUGGCAACUUCAUAUUUUUUUUGACUUUUUAUUUUAAAAUAGCUUUAAUUUUAUUUUAUUUUACUUUUCAUUUUUUGAUUUCGAGCUUUUAAUCUUUCAACCUUUUAUUUUAAAAAUUAAAUUUUACAUGAUUUUGACUUUUUAUUUUUUGUUGUCGGGCUUUUAAUCUUUGUGGUUUUUAUUUUUUGAGCUUUCUACUUUUUUCCUUUUCAUGAUAAAUUUGCAAAAAAAAAACUCACCUGGGUCUACCUCCCGGGCGGUGGCGGCCUUCGGGCGGCACAACAUCGUGCGCAGCCAGAUCUGGCACGGUGGAAGGGUCGGCGGGGGGAGGGGGCAGGUGCACCAUGGCCGUCGCGGCCGAGCGCGAGGGGGGGGGGGGGGGGGCGGCGCCGACGGCCCAGCGCGAGGGGCAGGAGGGGGCCGGCGCGUGUGAGACUAAGGAGCCGGGCGUGGGAACUGGGAGCGCGUCAGGAGUCUCUUAGACUCACUACUGCAAAACAGUGUAUAUGUGACGAGUCAUCAGUGACGGGCCUCUCGCACCAGUCACUGAUGACCCCGUAUCAGUGACGGGCGCAUAAAACCCGCCACUAAUGACCCCUCAUCAGUGGCGGGCGUACCACGCCCGUCACUGAUGAACCCUCACCAGUAACGGGCGGGAAAGCCCGUCACCAAUAUCCACGUCUGAAAAAUUGCAAAAUUCACCAAAACACACAUCAGUAGCGAGCUUUUCAUCUAGGCACGCCACUGAUGACUGUUCGAGGCCAGCUUUUUUAAUGGGCCGGCCCAGCAUUUUAGGGUUUGAGGGGGAGGUAUAAAAUACCCCCUCCCCCAGCUCUUCUCUCUCCCUCUAUUUCCUCCCUCAGCCCCGCCGUCACCCAACUCCCUCUGCUCUCCUCUAGAUCUCCCUCACUUCUCUCUCUUUUCUCCACUGCCAAGCAACCCUCUCCUCUCCCCCUUCUUCUCCACUCCCGAGCAACCCCCUCCUCUCCCCCUUAUCUUCUACACGAGCCGCUUCCUCUACUCCCCUAGGUCAGGCCGCGGGCAUCGAGGGCCACUCCGGCACCGCAGGUUUUCUCUCUCUCCCUUUGUUCUCUCGUUCCCUCUUGAUUUCUUCUCUCCCUCGAUCUCUUUAACUUGCAGAUCCCCGUCGGCGGCCCAUGGGGAUGAGAUGGCAGGGUGGCACCUCCUCCACCGCAGGAAUCGUCGUCACUACCCCGGCCACCGCCAGAUCCGGUGUCCCCGACCUCGUCUCCGCCACCGCCUCUGUGCAGGUACCCUCCCUCACUCUCUUUCUCUCACGCACUUUCUCCAUCUCUCGGUUGCUUUCUCUUUCUCUCCAUUGCAGAUCGAGCCCGUCGCCGGAGUUUGAGCUUCACUGCGGAGGAGGCCGUUUGUCACUAGAUCCGGCAUUUGCGCUGCCCUCUCCACGUCUGGUGUCUGCCGCCGCCAUGGAGACGGCAAGACGAUAGGAUUUGGGCUGCAAUGGGCUGCGAUGGGUUUGGUAGGUUUUUUUUUUUGUUUUUGCGAAAAGACAUCGGUGUCGGGUGGGUAUUUGUGACCGCCACUAAUGAUGGUAUCAUCACUAACGGUCGCUCACUGGCAGGAAGUUAGUGAUGGGCGGGGAUGCGAUUUCUUGACCGUUACUAAAGACCUUUUCUGUAGUAGUGACUCUCUUUUCAUCCGCCAGGAGUGGGAUGGGCGAUCGUUUGCCAAAGAGGAAUCUCCAAUAAGAAGUGGAAAUAAUUCUUUGGUCAUGCUUUCUUGGUUAAAGUUGAUAUCGCCAAAGAUUUUGGGAGGCUAGAAAUGGCACUUCCUCUAGCAAGGACUUCUACGUAAUUGGUUGCAUGCAUGGUCAUUUUAUUAAUUCAGGUCUGGAUCUGACUCGUUAAGGCAACCAUCCACUCAUGACGUGUCAAAGAAAACGGGUCCACUACAAAAAUUAUGUUGAUCCAUAUGACGUUCACAUAUCAUCACGGGCACACUCAGGAACGUCAUCGUGGUGUAUCUGUGACGUUUCCUAGGACAAACAAGAACGUCAUGAACCUCACGUCAUAUAUUGAGUCCAAAACUUUUCUCAUAUAAUUUAUGAGGAAAUUCCCUAAUUUGCCACGAGCCAUAGGUCCAAAGUCAUUGACAAAACGCCCCAUUUCGUCAUAGGCCAUGAGCUCAAAUGCAUCGGCCCAACCCAUGCCCAAAUGUUAGUGACAACUUUUUUGAUCCCUAGCUAUCUCAAGUCUCUCCACCCUCUCCCCCCGAUUCCUCCCAUUUUUUCCAACGGCGUUGCCUCCAAGCUCCUCUGCCGAUGACGUGUGUGUCCCCCAGCUCCAUCUCUCUCGAUUAAUUACAGCUAGCAAUCAGUUCCUCGGCCCGCAGGUGGAACAAAGCUCUCCCUGUCCCACCUGCUUUGUCCUGGCUGGGGUUUUUUGGACAGACGUGCGAGGAAUGGGGAAAGGAAUUAUUUUCCGAUAAAGGGAGCUUUUAUUAAACUUAAAAUUCGCAUGAAGAAGAUACGUACAACAAACAAGUUCGCACCGGCAAUAGGGAAGGAACUAGUUAGGGUGAUUCCACUGCGCCGGCCACCGGUUCUUAGGCGUCCGCGUAGGCAUCGGAAACGGACAGCUUUGGUGCGCUGCAGAUGAGAGGGAUGGGUGGCGCGCGGGCCCAGGGCGUUCGACGAUGGAGCCCUGCUGGGCCCGGUGCCGAGUCUGGGCCCGGUGGGCUGUCAGCCUGGCACUACUCCAUCUGGCAGGCGUUGUUUACUUGUUUUCGUACAAUCGCUCAAAAAAAGAAGCUUGUUUUCGUACAGCACUGCUGAAGCAUCGGAAUAAGAAAGUUGGCUAGCUGAGCCAACGUUUACCAUCACAUCUAUAUGAAUACUACGGAAACAAAUUUCUUGGUUAAAAGGGGCAUUAUGAAAGAGAGGGGAUUUUCUAUAUGGUCAGCAAGAUGUAUACAAUGAGAGGAAAUAAUUCUAUGGUCUUAGUUCCUGGAAUCAGCAUGGAUGUUAAAAUCAAUCUCGCGCCUAAGCUUUUUGAAAGGCUAGAGUGACACUUGUCUAACGACAAGCGCUUCUACGUAAAGGGCUGCAUGGUCAUUUAAUUAUUUUAGUUAUUUUUUGCGUCAUGUCGCCUAUCUUCUUUAACUUGUCGCUAUCAAUGGCCGCCCAUUUAGCAAAUUCCAUAGCUGUCGAGGAAUACGACGAUGAUACCCUCUCUCCUGGUAUCUUUUUGUCCUUGCCGCUAACUCCUGGAGGCUGCCGCCAUCCGAAGCGAGGAGGGCGUCCGCGUCACCGCUGGCUGCCCACCACCACUCGAUUUUGUCUCCUUAUGCUCAAGGACCAUGGGCUGGAGUAAUUCAGACGAUUGGGCGCAGUGCGUCGGAGCAGGGGGUCGGGUGGCGAGCCGGAUUAGGAGGAUGGGGCGGCACCGGAUUAAAAGGACAGGGCGACGGUGCCGCAGCAGAAGGGGUGCGUGUGAUCCAAGGAGAAACAGUAGAGCUUUUUUUGAUAAUUAUGAGGGCCACAAUGCUACUUUACGAAUCUACGGGAAACCAUGCAUGUGCUUUUCUACCUGUGUGAGGACAAGGGCGUGAUAGUGACGUACCACGGGAUGAGACAUACAAGACGCAAACUGUAAACUAAGAAAUUGUUAAGAUAUGGUAAAAAUAAUUAGUCCCUUUGAUGAAAUGUGUCCUAUAAAAAACUAGGAUCAGGACGUGUAAAAAGCAUUCUAAUCCAAAAGAAGUACAUGCCAGUCUCUAAAAAAGACUUGAUGAAGAUAAAUGGACGUAGAUGAAAAAAAAAAUCCUGCAAAAUCCAAAUGCUCGUUUAGUUAUUACCACCCAAUCACCCAUAUACAUAAGCCCGCAAAAGAUAAAGAUAAGUCUGAAAUCAUCAGGAAAGCCAGAAAAAACAUCAUGACAGAUGUACAAGAUCAGGAAAAAAAAUCCCUUAGUCCAACAUAGAUACCCUUGCGCAUCCAAGAUCCAAGCGCGCACUACUGCGUUACAAGAUGUAUUUAUUGAUAUCAGUGUCUCUGACGAGGUUCCAUUGCGUCACCCGACAACUGCGGAUAAUAUUCAACCAAAGAUUUAAACCAAUAAGUUAAUGGCGCUACACAAAACCCUGUAGUGGCAAUUCCAAUAGCCGUAGAAAAGACGAUGCCCCCUGCAAAGACGUGAGAGUCGGGGACUACCAAAGAUUAAUGUCGAAGACAGAUGAAGUUUCACAUCAAAAGGUAGUUCAGUUUAGACUUUAGACAAACAACCACAAACAAGCACAAACAUUCACUUUCGCCAAGUUCCAGCCAAAUCACCCCAUAACGGUAACUAGGUACGGUACAAGAUACAAAUAUGAAAUAAGCACAAUGUAGUCAACCACAACAGGACAUUAAUCGUGAGGCUUGAUUAUCCCCACCUCUCAGGUACCCUCAUUCAUCUUGUCCAUCACUGGAAGGCGGCGGCGGCUGCUGCUGCUGCUCACCAUUGUAAGGUGGCGGCUGAUGCUCCGGCUGCAGCCACGCGAAAGGAACUGGCUGCUGCUGGUUUCCAUAGUACAUUCCAAAGGUGCUCAUUCCCAGGACCGCGGUCUGUACGGUCGCAGACGGAAACCCCACGCCAUUGUCCUGCAUGACAUCCACCAGGAAAUCAAAGGUCUCAUUUCUGGAGACCGCAGCGCCGAUGUCGUUCUUUUGCAGCGUCCUCCUAUUGUUAUCUCUGGUUUCGAGCCAUGACCUCAGCGUCAGCUCCUGGAUGAAGAUCUCAGAGGCCUUAGCCAAGAGCCCAGGCGCCUCGCUGGCGAUCAUCCGAAUGUCCUCCCCGCUAGCCUUCAUGAUCUUCUUUAUCCUCGCGAGGGGAAGGCUGUGAGGCUUGAUCUCGCUCAUGUGCUCUAUCUCAGCCAGCGUUUCGGUCCAGAAGUCUUGCAGCUUUUGCUGGUGCUGGUCCUCCUGCUGGAGGGGAUGACGCACCUGCUGCAGCGGGGUUGCCGCAUAGACGACUGGACCGCCACUGGAGCCUGCAGCAAAGACUGUACCUGCCGGAAAGGCGGCCGCGCCUGCUGGCGCAGCUCCAGAUACCGUCCCAGGUGCCACAUAUGCUACAGGUGUACUGUUGACGUUUGUGGCAUCCGCCUCUGCCCAUGGCUGCGAGUGUCCAUCCAUGGCUAAGUCUGACCUUCUACAUAAUGGGAGAACUUGUGUCAUAUAUAUGUUGUUAAUUUAAACAGGGGUACACAUAAAACAUGAUACUAACUGCUAACUAACAAAAGUAGGUAAACUCCUUUUUUUUUUCUAUGAGAAGCACGAAGAAAAUGUUACGAUCACCCUAAAAGAAUUAACUUUCCUAAAUAAGAACUAAUGUGCCAACGGUUCCAUGCAUCUAAACUCAAUUGCUAGUGUAUUGCCUAAUCUGUCGCGUGGUUCCGUAUGAAAACACAAAAAUAGUUACGAGGCCACCUAACGCUGGCAGAUUUCUCGGCCCCUCCUUGCGUGUCAGCAAACGCUCCUGUAUCCUCCCUUGUCUGGUGCCCUUAAAUUUCAGGCUUAAUUUCUAAAAUGCCACUGUGCUACAGUCCCCCGAAGUCCCAAUUGGCAUCCUUGCGUGCCAGCAAACCAAGACUGCUGUCAUGGCCGCCGCGCCGCCCACCGGGGAUCGAGAUAGAAAGAGACAGAGGGGGAGGAAUAACCCCGUCCGGAUCUCGAUCUCAGCAGCGAUGGCACUCUCUCCAACCUCGAUCUCCCAACGAGAAGAUCAGGAUGCUAGCUAGGGUUUGGCUGCUGCCGCCGCCCCUAGUAAGUACUCAUGUGUUAGAGUUCACAGAGCGAGACAACGCCGAUCGAUCCAUCGAUCGACAUCUGAAUGAGCACGCGCGGCGAGACUUAACAGGGAUCUCGCAAAAGAACAUGGCGCCGACAGAAUCGGAGACGAUAACACAGCAGAAUUUCAGAAUUACCGACCUAUCUAUCUACACGCCCUUUCCUAGAUCUCGCACGAACAAUUAGUACACACUCCAAUUGAAGUACAACAUGUACAGAAGCUAGCAUAACACGGAUCUCGCAAAUAGAACAUGGCCGGCGCCGACAGAAUUGGAGACACGGCAAGACAACACAGCAGAAUUUGAGAAACGGCCUAUCUAUCUAUUGUUCUACACACGCCCUUUCCUAGAUCUCGCACGAACAAUAGUACAUAUACACAACACAGCAGCUAGCAUAAAUUGGAGGAGAUGCGAGAAUAGAUGCGAUGUUGAAGCUUACCGGGGCUUGGGCAGCGGAGAGAGACGGGACUGGAGCACCGGCCUGGAGAUGGAAUCCUAGGAGGAGGAAGAUGGCGACGGCAAGGAGAGGGACUGAUGAGGGAGACCUUGGCUUGACCCUUGUACUAUAUAUCCGCCCACUGAUGGACUGCGAUCCAGUGCCUGCCUACUGGACUGGGUGUCAGGCAGAAUGUCUGAACUGGGAGACUUUUUGUCCAUGCCUUCCUUAUUUGGGAUAUACUAUGUACUUCGAGGCCCAGUGGGCGGCGGGCCGGGGCCUGUGUGAGUGUGAUUCGGUGGGCGCUUUGGGACACACGUGCGACGGAAAGGGAAGGAACUAGCUAGGGUGAUUCUGUCUGACAGAGACAUUCUCGAGAGCAAUUUUUUAUCUGAAGACUCUAUAUAAUUUUUGUCAACUGACAAAAAAAAACUGCGGGGUCAGAGAGCACCACCCUAGCUAAAGCCCCAGCACCGAUUACCGCUAUAAAUAUCCUAUUAAGAUGUUCCUCUCCAUGAUCAAACAUUACUCAUUGACAGUAUGUGUAGUUCUCUGCAACGAAAUAUAACUUCUUCCUAUGUAACACCUCCAAAUGGACCUUUUUUUUUACUGUACACAUUAAAUAAAGUCGACAAGUCACAUAUUUUAGAAAGAAACCCCAGAAGACACAUAAUCAAAUUAAAAUGUUAAGAUAUCUUGUAAGUUGUAACAUGAAUUAUAUUAUGAUCUAAGAUGUUAUGACCAGUAAAAUAAAAAACGGGCAUUAUUUCACUGACUUUGCUGAGAUUGUUAGGAUGUACUCUUUGUUGGUAGGAGUAUAGAACAAGAAGUAAUUCUUUUGGUCUUAGUGCCCCGAAUCAGCAUACUUUCAUGGUUAAAAUUGAUCUGACUAAAUCUUUUGAUAGGCACUUCAUCAGACAAGAGCUCGUACGUAAAGGGUUGCAUGGCCAUUUCAUUAAUUUAGUCACUUGCGUCACGUCUCCUAUCUUCUCUGUCAUCAUCAAUGGCCACCUUUGGCGCGGAGACUUAAGCAGGUGAUUGCUGGAGCAUACGCGGCGCGGCAUAUGGAUCGCUUCUACGUAAAGGGUUGCAUGGUCAUUUCAUUAGUUUAGUUAUUGCUAGCGUCACUUCGUCUAUCUUGUAUGUCUUCAUCAAUGGCCACCCUUUUGGCAAAUUCCAGAAAAGUAGAGGAAUACGACAAGGAUGCCCUCUCGCUUGGCAUCUUUUGUCCUUGCCGUUAACUCCUGGAGGCUGCCUUUGUUCGCGGCGAGGAGGGCGUCGAAGGUGUCACCGCCGGCUGCCCACCAUGAGUCUAUCUAAUCCCCUUAUGCAGUUAUGCUCAAGGAUCGUGAGCUGGAGUAAUUGAGGCAAUGGGGCCGUGUGUCAGAGCAGGGGGUCGGGCGGCGAGCCGGAUUAGGAGGAUGAGGCGGCAAGGAAGGAGAAACAGUGGAGUUUGUCUUAACAAUUAUGAGGGCCAAAAUAUUUUUUACAAAUCUACAUGAAACCGUAUAUGCGUUUUUCUUCAUAUGUGACAAGGGUGCGGUAGUGACGUACCACGGGAUGAGACAUAUACAAAUGCAAACUGUAAACAAAGAUGUGGUUUAGAUAUGUUUUUAGUCCAUUUGAUGAAAACGUGUCCUAUAGAAAGCUAGGAUCAGGACGUGUAAAGCAUUCAUAUCCAAAAGAAGUACAUGCCCGCGGUCUCUAAAAAAGACUUGAAGAUACGUAGAUGAAAAAAGUUGCUGCAAAAUCCAAAUGCUCAUUUAGUUACCACCAAAUCGACCCUAUGCAUAGGACCAGAAAGAUAAAUAUAAGUACCAAAAAUCAUCAGGAAAAAACCAAAAAAUCAUGAAAAAACAUCGUGAUAGAUCCACAAGAUCAGGAAAAAUUCCCGAGUCCAACAGAGAUAUGAAGAACUUUCGAGCAGCCAAGCGCACUGCGUCAACAAGGUUCCAUUGUGUCAGCCGACAAUUGCAGAUAAUAUUCAACCAAAGAUUUAAAGCAACAAGUUAAUGGCUACACAAAACCCUGUAGUGAGAAUUCAAUAAAACUGUAGAAGAAAAAUACCCCUGCAAACACGCGAGAGUCUGAGACUAACAAAGAUUCAUCUCGAAGACCGAUGAAGUUACACAUCAAAAGGUAGUUCAGUUUAGACCAUCUCUACAACAAACAAAAUACAACAAACAAGCACAACUUUCACCGAAGUUCCAGCCAAAUCACCCCAUAAUGUAACUAGGUACGGUACAACAUACGGAUAACCACAGCCAACCACAAUAUAAGACAGUAAUAACCCGGCUUGAUUAUCCGCCUCAGCUCCGCUCAUUCAUCUUGUGCACCACUGGAAGGCGGCUCCUGCUCCUCAGCGUCGUUGUAAGGUGGCUGAUACUGCUCCUCACCAUUCUAAGGCGGUUGCUGUUGCUCCGUCUGCGGCCACACGAAAUGAACUGGCUGCAGGUAUCCAUAGUACAUUCCGAAGUUGCCCAUUCCCGGUACCGUGGUCUGCAUGGUCCUAGUCGGCAACCCCACGCCAUUGUCCUGCAUGACGUCCACAAGGAAAUCAAAUGCCUCAUUCCGGGAGACCGCAGCGGCGAUGUCAUUCUUCUGCAGCGUCCUCCUAUUAUUUUCUCUGGUUUGGAGCCACGAUCUCAGCGUCAGCUCCUGGAUGAAGAUCUCACACGCCUUAGCUAGGAGCCCAUGCGCCUCCCCCGCGAUCAUCUGGACAUUCUCCCCGCUAGCCUUCAUGAUCUUCUUGAUCCUCGCAAGGGGAAGGCUGUGGGUCUUGAAGUCGCUCAUGUGCUCGAUCUCAUCCAGCCGGUCGCUCCAGAAGGCCUGAAGCUGUUGCUGGUGCUGGUCCUCCUGCUGCAUUGGGAGGGCUGCAUAGACUGGACCACCAUAGGGUCCUACAUGAAAGACGGUACUUGCGGGAAAGACGACGCCUGCUGGCGCAGGUCCAGAUUCCGUCCCUGCCACAUAUGCUACAGAUGUGUCGUUUGUGGCAUCCGCCUCUGUCCUUGGCUGCGAGUGUUGAUCCAUGGCCAAAAGAUACAUGCACUUAUGUCUUAACCUGGAACAUAACGGGAGAACUUGUCAUAUGUUGGUAAUUUAAACAGGGGUUCCGUAAAACAUGAUGCUAAGUAUAUCUUUCAACAGUAGAUAAGCUCCUUAAAAAAAUUUUAUGAGAAGCACGAAGAAAAUAUUAAAACCACAAUUAAAAGAACUAACUUUCCUAAAAAACAGACACAAUUAACUUCCCUGAAAAUUCAAAUAACUAGACACAAUUACACAACUAAUGUAUUAUCAUAUCCAUUUGCACCUGGAGUAGUUACAUGUAAAUACAUAUCAAUUUUUUUUUGCUUUUGCUUACACAUAAUUACAAUUUCAAAGAAAAAGAAAACAUGUUUGUACUUUUGUCUACAUGGAAACUGCAAUCUACUCGUGCCGAGCAAACAAUCCCCAUAAAACAAGGAAGUAAACAUAUAUACCGGAGUAUAGACUACGAAUAUGGGCUAUAGACUACGAACAUGGGCUCUCUUGUGAACCCACGCGGAAAUGGAAGAAAAAUAACCAUGGUAUACGCGGCCAGAGGAUAGCCCCUCCUAGAUUUGCAUCUAAAGAACAAAUCUUACAGCAAAUUAAAAUACCCCACGACCUUUUCAUCUAAACUCGAUUGCUAGUGUUCUCUAAUCUGUCGUGGUUUCCUAAAUAAGAACUAAUGUGCUAACGGUUCCAUGCAUCGAAACUCAAUUAUUGCUAGUGUAUGUAUUGCCUAAUCUGUCGUGUGGUUCCGUAUGAAAAAACAAAAAUAGUCACGAGACCUAACGCUGGCAGAUUUCUCGGCCCCGGCCCUCCUUUCGUGCCAGCAAACGCACCUGUAUCCUCCUUUUUGUCUGGUGCCCUUAUAUUUCUAGCUUAACAUAAUUAUUUCUAAAUGUCACUGUGCUACUAUACCGAAGUCCCAAACCAAGACUGGUGACAUGGCCGCCCCCCAGCAGCGAGAGAGAAAGAGACAGAGGGGGAGGAACAACCCCGGCCGGAUCUCGAUCUCAGCGGCGAUGGCGCCCUCUCUCCUCAACCUCUCCUGCUAGGAAGAACCUAGUAUAAACUAACGAAUCCAUUGUUAGAGUUCACACUUCACAGAUCGAUAACAUGUAAAAGGGCACGAGCAAGCGCAGCCGACGCGGCGAGACAAACGCCGAUCCAUCGAUCGACAUCUGAAACAUGGCGAGACAGCACGGAUCUAGCAAAAAAUCAUGGCACCGACAGAAUCGGAGAUGACAAAACAGCAGAAUUGGAGAACUGGCCCUAUCUAUCUACAUGCCUCUUCCUAGAUCUCGCACAAAUAAUACUACUCCGUACUACAUACAUACCAAGACAGCAGCUAGCAUAAAUUGGAGGUGAUGCGAGAUGAGGCCUGAGGGUGGAGGUUGUUGAUUCUUACCAAACCAGGGGCCGGGCGCUGGAGAUGGAACCCUAGGAGGAAGAUGGCGACGGCGAGGAGAGGGACUGAUGAGGGAGACCUCGGCUUGGCCCCUAUAUAUUUGCCUACUGCUGGACUGGGAUCCAGUGCCUACUGGACUGGGAGUCAGUGUCUGAACUGAAAGACUUUUUGUCUAUGCCUUAUUUGGGAUAUACUAUGUCGAUCGAGGCCCAGUGGGCGGCGGGGCCUGUGAGUGAUAUUCGGUGGGCGCUUUGGGACACACGUGCGACGAAAAGGGAAGGACAGGGAAGGAACCAGGGUGAUUCUGUCUGACAGACAUUCUUGAGAGCAUUUUUUUUAAUCUGAAAACGCUAUUUGGUGAACUGAAAAAAUCUACGGGAGAGAGGACCCUUAAAGCCCCAACAACGAACACUGAUAUAAAUAUCCUCCGAAGAUGUUCUUCUUGAUGGCCAAACCUUACUCGUUUCGUUGUCAUUUUGACAGUAGUUCUCUGAAAGGAAAUAUAACUUGUACACUAUAUUUAAUGUGCUCUUCUUUGCUACGUAAGACCUCCAAACGGACCAUUUUUUACUGUACAAAUUAAGAAAGUCGACAAGUCACAUUUCUUAGAAAAAAAACUCCACAAGACAUAAUCAAAAUUAAAAAUGUUAAGAUAUCUUGUAAGUUGUAAAAUGAACUGUAAUCUAAGAUGUUAUGACCAGUCAAAUACAAAACGUGCAUUAUUUGACUGGAUUUGCUAAGAUUGUUAGGAUGUACUCUUUGUCCGUAGGAGUAUAGAACAAGAAGAAAUAAUUCUGUGUGUCUUAGUUUCCCUGAAUCAGCAUGCUUUCAUGGUUAAAAUUGGUCUGGCUAAAGCUUUUGAUAGGCUAGAAUGACACUUCAUCACACGUAAAGGGUUGCAUGGCCAUUUAAUUUCAUUAAUUUAGUCGCUUGCGUCACGUCUCCUAUCUUCUAUGUCAUCGUCAAUGGCCAGCCUUUUGGCAAAUUCCACGGCAGCAACGGAGGAAUAUGACAAGAAUGUCCUCUCUCUCCGUAUAUUUUUGCCCGACAGUGGAUUUGUUACUCCCGAGAGCACAUUGCAUGCCCCUAUCAUAGCCGCACAUUUCCAUGGCAUCCUCCCACCCUUCUUCUAUCUUCUCUGUCAUCAUCAAUAGCCAGCCUUCUGGCUAAUUCCACGGCCAGCAACAGAGGAAUAUGACAUGGAUGUCCUCUCUCUCCGUAUAUUUUUGUCCUUGACAAGAACGAGCUUUCUAUCAAUCUGCAAGAGGCUAUAUCUAUGCUGAAUCACCACCUUCAAGGUAUUACUCUUCAGCCCCACUGUCUGCACAUUCACUUUCUCACGUACGCUGGCGAUCGAGCUGCUUAAUUAUCUGCAGGCAUGUUACCACCGUUGAAGCCAAUGCUAUUUUUGUUAUCAACUUAACUUUUUUUUCAAUCUGGGAAAACUCCUGCUACCUGAAUAAAUCUACCAUUCCUUUUCAGCAAGCAUGUUGACCACGACUCUACCUCUCAAAUCAAAUCCAUUUUUCCCAUCCGGCCGGCCAGCAGAACCUCAAUAACAGUACUCUAUCUCGGACAUCCCUUGAUCCUCCCUAAUAAGGAUAGAUUCUCUGCUUAAACUUCAUCAUCGAUACGAUAAAUGAUAAAAUCAGGCAUAAACUCAAUUAUAUUGCUUCAUGAUGAUGUUGGAAGACUCACGCUUAUUAACUCGGCUUUUCCUCCAUCCCUAUUGACUAUAUGCCUCGGUGUCAUCCUUGAUCGUGCAUCCGCCGAAUUUCGUAACACUUGAUGGAAAUAUGAGCAAUUUACCACAAGAUUUAAUAGAUAAAAACAGUAAAUAAAACAUGUGUAAUAUUGCAACCAUGAAUAAUUCGGCACAAGAAUUGAUCAACAUAAAUAGUGGGUAAAACAUGACUAGACCAAACACAGUAGUCAUGCAAGCAUAUGAACAAAACACAUCUAAAUCAAGAACUAAACAUACGAAUUGCAGCAUGAUAUCAAGUAUGGGAAAUAAUGACACGUGCGGUGCAGAGGCGGAACCGCUCGUGUUCCCGUUGCUAGACAUGUUGAUGUCGAGGAUGUCUUCAACCUCCGGGAAGAAGUCGUCGUCGGGGAAGGAGUCGUCGGAGUCCAGUGCGUUCGCGGCGAAGAGGAAGAAGACAGUAGUCGCGCGUAGCGCUCCCCAAAAACCUUAUUGCCCUUCUCUCGUACAGGACUCGUAGAGGCGGGGUUCCGGAGGCCUACUAUCCCGACCUGCGGUGCACGCCACGAGACGAGAUGGGGAAGAACGGAGCGGCAGUGCAAUGCUCUGGAACGAGAGGAGGCAGGAAUGCUGUUUCGGUGUGCUUUCUGGAGAGGAGCAGGCAACAGAGGGAGGCAAAACGAAGAGGACAAAUUCGUUUCAGCUUCUGUGCAACCAUUCAGAUUAUUUUCCAUUCACGCGUGUACAGGACUCGAAGAGGCGGGGUUCCGGAGGCCUACUAUCCCGACCUGCGGUGCACGCCGCCAGACGAGAUGGGGAAGAACGGAGCGGCAGUGCAAUGCUCUGGAACGAGAGGAGGUAGGAGUGUUGUUUCGGUGUGCUUUCUGGAGAGAAGCGGGCAACAGAGGGAGGCGAAACGAAGAGGACAAAUUCGUUUCAGCUUCUGUGCAACCGUUCAGAUUAUUUUCCAUUCAUGCGUGGCAAAAAGAUAGAGAAGCUCUCGGCUCGAGGCAUUCCCGCAACCCGCGGCGCGUGCGCGUCGUGACAAGACGAGGCGGGGGGCGGAGGAGCGCGUAGAAGCUCUCUUCUUCUCAUGCUCACACAACAGGUGGAAGAGCCCCCCCCUUAUAAGGUGGUGCAAACUCUCUUCAACUAGCAAUGUGGGACUAAACUUUUGUCCCACCUCUUGCCAUGCAUGAAUGGGCCGAAUGGGCCUUUGGGAUUUUCAGGAAUUUAUUGGACUAUAAAUUAAAUAGUGGGCUGGGCCACAUAAAUUCCAACAACACUUACUACUAUUAUUGUGAACUUUUGGUGGACACAAGUGUCAGGGAAGGAUAGGAAAAAAAACACUUUGUCUUAAUGAUGAUGACAUAGCAUCCGGGUAUAGUCUCAAGGAGGAAAAACUCGGCCCAAGGAGUAGAGGGUCUGCCAGGUCAUCUAUAUGGAGUCUGACUGCUACACCUGGGCGCCUCAUUGACUUGGAGUGCAAGAUAGGGAAACUCUACUACCCAAAAUACCACUUGAGAUAUGAUUCUAACCGAUUAAAUAAUCUAUUCCGUAUAAACCGACUCAGGCUCUUGUAAUCUGAUACGUCGAAAACAUACUAUUCCUUUUUAAGUUUCCAUCUUUGUGUUCUAUUGCUUUUUAUCGAUUUUCAUUAAAGCUUUGAGCUUAAAUGUAGUUAACAGCCAUUAGGAAGUUUCUUCUUUCUUUGUUUUGUUAAUUUCAGAUAUAUAACGCGAGAGGAGAGCCCCUAGAAAAUUAGGAGGAUCAUAUAUCGGAGUCCAAUGCAGUAUACAAAAGGAGGGAUCGACAAAGGCCCCCACGGAGGUCCCAGUCGGCCAAGGGUAGGCACCCUGGGCCCAGGGCUGCUUGCCUGGGGCUUGGGAGACUCUGCUCUUUUCGAUGUACUCUUUCAUACUCCCUCCGUUCCAAAACACAAAUCAUAAAGAUUUGUGCACUUGGACCAAGGCAGCUCUCAUUUCUAGUGCUUGACCACUCAUAUUGGAUUAAUAAUAAAUGGAUGUGAGUAGUUAUUUGCCGGGUGCGGGUACCAAGAGAAAAUAAGGUGUGUUUUGGAACAAAUGAGAAAAACCUAUAUGAGUUGUGUUUUGGAUAGGAGGGAGUAACACUUUGGGACCCCCUGAAAAUUCAGACACAAGAAGAUAUCGAUUACGAGGCAAAGCAGCACAGAAAGUAAAACUACCAGAAAUUAUGCUGCGAGAUCACUGCUUCGGAAAAGGUUAGCAGCAGCGGUCCGAAUUACACACCGGUGGCGGUAACCCGGACCGCCACUAAGCCUGCGCCACGGUAAUACCCGCCACCGGUGCUAGCCAGCACCGGUGGCGGUUUGCACAACCGCCGCUGGUAAUCCGUAGGGAGGUUAAGAAAGUGCACCGGUGACCGUGGGAAGAACUGCCACUGUUCUUUUCCGGUUUAAAAAAAAUAUUUUUUAUAUUAGAACAUUCCUGUAACAGCAAUAUAUCACAUCACAGCAAUAGAUAACAGCAUGAUAGAUAACAGCAAUAUAUAUGAGAAAAUCACACAUCCAUGAUAGAUAACAGCAUCCGUUCACAAAACUUAUUACAAAAACACAGAUAUUCAAUAUUUAACAUUGUCCAUCAAAGUUUCAAUACAUCGGCACAACCCCGCCUUCAUAAAAAUCACCGUUCUCCUUCAGGACCUCUUUGUUGAGAAUGGUGGCUAUCUUCCUCUGAAUAUCGAACACAAGAACAGCUGGGUUGUGUUCAUAUUCUGAUUCCGUCUUGAAGUAAUCCACCAUCUGCUGGUAGGUCGUCUUUGUCUUGGGCUUGAAAUUGGUGACCCAAUUGCGGAUGAUGUACGCGUAGUAGUAUCCACAGAAGACCGUACCUUGCGGCUGUUGUAUACAUGCGAAGUUUCUGUGAUAGGUUAUUUUCUUCCAGCCGUAACUUGGCAACUCAUAGUCAGUCACUGCCUUUUUCCACGCCUCUUCGAAGAGUGUUCCGACGGUUUAGAAGUCGCGCGGCUCAUAGCCUUACUUCCGGCGGAGUGGAUCAAGAUACGUCACCGACCCUUCUUCGAAAGAGAAGGCCACCACCACCCAAUGUUCGUUGUUUACAAAAAGAACACACAUUUAUAACCGAAAUGAGAACAACUUAGUGGAACGAGAAAGAAAGCAAUGGUCUUGAGAACAACUUACUCUAAAUGGUAGAGUGUAAGAACAUAACGGCGUUGCUUGUGCAUUGCGAAGAACUUAGCCAAGUAUGAGCCUUCUCUCUCGAACCCCGUUUCCAUUCCUCUAGACCGAUGGUUGCUUUGCUGAAUAAGAGAGGAUCGGCGAUGGCAACGUGUGGUUCUUUCAGGCGGAAGGACUCCCUAGUGAAGUAUACACACCAGAGUCUUAACAUGUUGUUGUCUAAGUACUUCUGGUUGAAGACGUGAAACAAGUCAAGGAAGUCCACGCCGAAGGUAAGUUCCUUCGUCUGCAGGUCCCCCGUUUCGGCAUUGUAGAAGCCAUAAUACUCUGGCACCUUCACAUUCAUCUGUUGGCCAUGUUGUGUAGAAUUAGCUGAUGCUGCCAUGUAGUAGCCAUGUAGCUCUUGCAUCUCUUGCGGCAGGCUCCUUAGGUCCUUAAGGCUGACCAUCGGUUGUCCAGGGUAGAACAUCAGCACUUUAUCGAAUUUCCUGGCCACGAAGUAGGCUCCGCCGACUAAAUCACAAGCUAUAGGGGGGCUUCAUAUUCAAAAUAUCUAGCCGGUUUUCCCAAUUCCCUUCGAUUAUUGGCGGAUUGCUGGGUUGCUCGCCCGUUGAGUCCAACUCUUUACUCUUCGAGUCACUGGAUCUCUUGCUGAUUUUGGACCCCUGUUAUUGGUGCGCCGGCGUUUCAAAACCUCGGCCUCCUCUUGAUCCUUGAAGGUCUGGGAGACCUGCUUGCCAGACGUGUACUCCAGCGCGCCCGCCACAGAUUUCCGUGGCACGGGUGCAGGUCGUGGUGGUUGUGAGGGUUGGCUGUCUUUACGGUGGGGCGGCGAUGGAUUAGGCAGCAGCACAUGAGCCGGUGCAGCGUCAUCAUCGCUGCAGUCUUGCGUUGGUCCGAAAUCGAAGCCUCCUUGCCCCGACGUUGGUGAAUCCGGACGUGCUGGCUUAUUGGGGGAUGGGCCAAGGGGCGAUGGAGAGGGAAGUCAUCGAGCGGAAGCCGGUGGAGACGCUCCGGGACACGACAAAGAGGGAGAAGGUUGGGUAGCGAGGGCAACCAACCUCCUGGGCCACUGGAUGUACGUGCCCCGGCAUUGCCCUAGAGUCACUGAUUCCUCCUCUAGAGGAUAAGGGACCGGCGUCUUGUCAAAUUCCGGGAGCACGGAGUCCACCUGCACCCUGACAUGAUCCGGGGCCAUGGGCGUGUUGUGCACGACCGGCAUUCUUCGCAUCAGCAGACCACGUGCGCCUAAGGGAUUCCCGGUGGAUGGCAUCAAUAUCCGGCACUUAAUACUCUUCUGUGCGUGACAAACAAAUUAACAUACGUACGUUAGUGUUAUGGUGUGAAGAAUGACGUAAUUGAGUGUAUAUAUACUAUGGUACCAGUAAGGAGCUUACCAGGAUGUUAUCAGAUGGGCCAUCAGGGUCAUCCGAAGUUCGGUGCCGGAGCCAGCACUGCUCUUAUAAGGUGGCGGCGAAGGAUUCGGAGUCGACUGAUGAACAUGCGGAGUCAUAGGCCUCGGUGUCACGCCCCGGUUGCCCUAAUAUGUAGCAACGAACUCCUCCAUAGUCUGGCCAGAGUCCCUUGCUUUUUUCAAGCAAGCGAAAAACUCCUCCCUCGCCGCCCUUUUCGCCACCUCUACAAUUUCUUCGUGCUUCUCAGCCUUUCUUUUACGGCUCCGGGCUUCUUUCUCUUGAGGAAAGACUUUGCGGCAAAGGGCCCCGGUUCCUAAGGCUCGAAUAUGGGCCCCGUGCUUAUUUCUUCCUAGAGCAUAGCUUAGUGGUGAAUCCCACUGUGCACGGAGCUCGUCGUGGGAGCCUUCCGACUCGAACUCGGCGACCUUGUCCUGAAAUAAGACAAAGUCGGUGUCAAUUUAUAAGUGAGUGUGUUAGAAGCUAAACUGAAAAGGAAGUGGCGGUUGAGGCCUUACGAUUAAAACUUUCUGGUCAUCGCGGAUAGGCUUCAGGCCUGCCCACUGUUCUUUUGUCAUGGUACUCCGCACAAAGGUUGUGAACCGGUCAUGACGGAGCAUUGUUGGGACAGGAGGGACUAUCCCUCUUGCCGCAAGCUUGGCGUCCUCCUUCUCCCACACCGGCUUCUUUCCCUCGAUACCACGACUACCAAGGCGGUGGUUAAAUUUCCUCUUGGCACGUAGCGCCGCGUACCACUCUUGGGUUGCUUUGAAAUUUUGAUCCUUUUCCUUCUCCUUGAACUCCUCCCAUUCCUCCUCUGUGAUCCUCGGCCAUUUCUUAUGAAUCACCAUCUUCCAAUCUUCGUUCAAAAAAGCACUGGCCAUGGUACCCCAAUUGCUGUGACCCCUACGCAUUGUGGUCUUCAUCGCUCCGAAUACUUCUUCACGGAGCACGGGAUCAGGCACCUCGAACCUCUCCCAUCCCUUGGCGUAACAAUCUUGCUUUACGCUCUCCGGCACCUCGGUCCAUCUUUGAUUGAUGUUCGUGAACUCGCGAACGAUUGCAUUGCAAGUGUUGGCGAAACACGACGCGGCCCUCUUUGGUGAUUUGGGUUCCCCCACGUCGUCAGUCCUGGUGACGAUGAAUUUCUCCUUCGUCGGCUUGUUAGACCCACGCGGCGCCUUCUUCUUCUUCUUCUUAGAAGUAGCCUGCGACGUGGUAGCCUCAGAGCCUGCAUUGAAGCCUGAAGGAUCACCGCCGCCGUGUUCAGGCUCGUCGUCUUGGCUAUGUGCUAUUGGUGUGCCCGACGAUGAAGAACCCUGAGGGGAGUCCUCAGGGUGUUCUCCAUCGCGACCCUGAGCUUCCUAUACAAUGCCCUUACAUGGAUUACUUUAAAAAUUUGAAAAAUUCGACAUGACCCGUAAUGUAAAUCUAGAAAAAUUCGGCAUGACCCGUGCUAUAAAGCUAGCGAAUUGGUCUACCCGACAAUGAUACCUGCAUAAAAAUUACCCACCCACAUAUACCCCCUCGGCGCGAUGGCCACCCCCCUAAAUUUCAACGGCCUCGGCACGAUGGCCGGGCCCACAUCAUGCAUAUGCCACAAAAUGCAUAUUUAAGACAUUUGAUAUUUGCUACUCAAGGAUAUUUGCUCAAGGAUAUUUAAGACAAAAUGCAUACCUAAGACGAAAUGCAUAGUCUAUUAAUAUAUAAUUAUAUGACAUAGAUUCAUAUUCAUUAUAUUCCUAGUCAAGGAUAUUUGCUCAUGGAUAUGAUUUUGAUCACAUUAGUCACAUAUUUGCUACUCAAGGAUAUUUGCUUGACACUUUACCCAUCGCCAAAGCAAGGAAAAAAAAUCCUAACCCUAGAACAUGGAUCACUAAACCCUAGAACAGUAAACUUAAAAAAACAAUCCUAACCCUAGCACUGACCUUGUCGCCGGCAGGCUCUCCCUCGACGCCGGCGGCCGGGGACCCCGGCGGUUUGUCGUCGCGGGGGAGCUUGGUCUCCAGAUUUUGGACCUCGUCCACAAAAUCCGGCGGGCCCGAAUCAGCCGUGCGGCGGGGCGGCAGGUUUGCCGUGGCUGACGCCGUGGAGAAGCCACGGCAGCGGCCCGUGCCGCGUGUGCGCACCAUGGCGGCAGCGGCGGUGGCGGCGGCUCGGGGACAGCGGGUCGGGGAGGAGAAGGCCGGGGAAAAGGAACGGGGUCGGGGAGGAGAAGGAACGGCUUCGGGUCGGGGUCGGCGACGCGGGUGGGGGAGGGGAACGGCGGCGGCGGCGAGUCGGCGGCGGGGCAGGGCUUCGCCCGCGUUAGUGUUCGAUGUGCCGCUGCUGGUCUGUGAGACGCGCGGGCGAAUGGUUCGAAAUUUCGCUAAGUCCAGUCGCUAUCUAUUGGCCAAGGGGAUUUUUGCACCAGCACUCGUGGCGGUUCACCAAGUAAAAUAGCCACCGGUGCUAAGCACCCGUGGCCGGUUGGUGCUUUGGACCGCCACCCGUGCUUCUCAGUGGCUAUAGCACUGGAGCGAGCACUGGUGACGGUCUAUUUGCAAAACCGGCCACUUGUGCUGCAGUGGCCGGUUUUGCAAAUAGACUGUCACCAGUGCUCGCCACCAGUGCUCCUCAGUGCCUAUAGCAAUGGAGCGAGCACUGGUGACGGUCUAUUUGCAAAACCGGCCACUGGUGCUCCACCUGUGCUCCUGCAUCUAGCACUAGUGGCGGUUUGACCGCAAAACCGCCACUGAUACUAAUUUCUGAAUCAAGUUUUAAAUUCAUAUUAAAUUAUGUGUACAUCCAAAAAUUAAAGAACCUGUCCUUUUGAGUGUAAACUACUAAUAUCAUGUCCCAUGCAAAGUUUCAAACCUAAAUACAGAAAUAUCAUCAACCAUUUAUAUGAUUAUGUUGUUCAUAUUAAAGUUAUUAAUUGCUAUAAAAUUGAAUUUUGCUCAAAAUGACCUGAAAUUUUGCAUGGAACAUUUCUAUCAAUAAACAAUCUUACAUAUAAAUUGUGGUCCAAAAAUUUAAAAGGAUGCACUUUGGUUCUUCAUUUUUUUCACAUUGCUUCUUCAUUUUGGAACCAUCUAGGUAAAUCUCUCAGAAACCAUCCAACCCCAUGAACAAAAUGUGACAUGUUUUUUUUGAUUGAACUUGAAUUUUUUUUAUGGGUGUUCUAUAGCAAUAGGGAAGUGUCCACACCAAAUUUGACAAUGUUUUGAGAAAAAUUGAAUUUUAUAGAAUUUUUAUAGCACAAAAGCCACACAUAAUGACACUUAACCAUAGAAAUUAGGGUAUAUAACAUUUGAAUUUAUGCUUCAAAACUUUAUUGAGAAUAAACACUCUUAUUAUACACAUAAAAGAACAGGUGGUGUAUUUAUUUAAAACCCAGAGAAUAUAUUAUGAAUUUAAUAGCUUAUUGGAAAUUCGUCACCAAUGGCGGUUUUUGUCGUGAGAACCGCCACUGAUAUGCGGUACACAAACUUAGGUUCUCCAAUGCUCCUGCGUAUCAUACUAGUGGCCGGUUUCUUUGCGAGCACCGCCACUAGUGCUCCAUGCUAGUGGCGGUUCCCAGCGUAGUCACCGUCACUUGUGCUCCUGCGCGUGAGGCGAAGUUUUGCGCCAACACUAGUGGCGGUUUGCUGCGUUUUAACGGCCACUAGUGCUUCAUGCUAGUGGCGGUUCGUGCGUUUUCACCGCCACUAGUGCUCCUCAGAGCGAGCUUUCGCGCAGUGGGUUGGGAGUUUUAGUCCCACCUCGCUAGUUUACAGAGAAUCUGACCAGCAUAAAUAGCCUUCUCCACCUGCACUCUCACUUCCGAAUCACAUCUCUUCCUGGCCGGUGGGCCCGGUUGUCCUCUCUUCCUGGCCUGUGGGCCCGGUUGUCGUUCCGAAACUUGGUGGGCUCGAUAAAAGCCCUGUGGGCCCGGUCAAACCUGCCCUAGUAGGUAGUAGGCAAUUCCCUGGUUCGCCGGGCUCGGCCCGAACCCGAAAAGCUGUGUUGACUGGGUGGGCUAAUUUUUUUCCAUGAAAUUUGAUAAAGUUAUUUUGAAAUUCAGAACAUAUCUAAGACAUUUGAUUUGAAAUUUGAACAAGUUAUUUAAUACAACUGAUUUCAAAUUUGAUCAAGUUUCUUCAAAUUCAGAACAUAUUUAAGACAUUUUAUUUGAAAUUUGAACAAGUUAUUUAAAACAUUAUGAUUUCAAAUUUGAACAAGUUAUUUCAAAUUCAGAACAUAUUUUUUAUUUCAAAUUUGAACAAGUAAUUAUUUAAUACAGUUGAUUUGAAAUUUGAACAAGUUGUUUAAUACAAUUGAUUUCAAAAAUCGAUCAAGUUACUUCAAAAUCAGAACAUAUUUAAAACAUUUUAUUUGAAAUUUGAACAAGUUAUUUCAAAUUCAGAACAUAUUUAAGACUUUUGGUUUCAAAUUUGACAUGAUACAAGUUACAAUUUUCAUUCAAAAGCAUCGUGAAACAUCAACUACGAAAAGAUACACAAAUAUUUAACUAUUCCACAAUCUUGUCCUUCAUCUUCUUUCUAGUCUUCUCCUUCCUCUUAUAUGUUAGGGUCUCUCUAUGGCCGCUUCUAGCGUAUGCCUCCUCUCUUGCCUCAGGUCUUGACUUCUUCCUUGUCUGAAUUGUCCGUUAUGCUUCUUCUUCUUCUUGGUUUGACGUUGGAUCAGGAAAACCUUCAUAGUCUUGUUGUGAAGUAACUCCGUCGACGCCAACUAUGCUUCUUUUCCCUCUCCUUACGACAACACGGUUCUUGCUUGUCGGGUCGUCGAUGAACAAAACUUGUUUGCAUUUUGAAACAAACUGCCAUGGUUCCCAUCUUGCCGGGAUUUUCUUCACGUCCACUUUAUGACGAGGAACCUCACGAGGCAGGGUCAUUGUUGUGAAUCUAUGAUCUUCUUUUCUGACAUCACGUGCCCAUCUAACACGGAACAUGGGGAUGGUGGUGAAGGUGUAGUCAAGCUCCCAGAUCUCUUUAAUCACGCCAUAGUACGCUUCUGUAGUGCCUUAGUUUUCAGAACUAGUCUCAGCAACCAGUACUAUACCGCUAUUUUGGUAACUGCUCUUACGAUCUUGAUCCUUGGUGUAGUACGUAUACCUGUUCAUUACGUACGACUGGUAAGUCACUAUGCAGCCGUCGGGUAGGCGCGAGAACUUUUGAGCGGUCCUUUCUUCUUCAUUUGCCGCCACCCUGGCAUAGCAAAAACUCUUGAGCCACAUGGCGAAUGUUGCAUUGUGGGUCUUGUGUAUCCAAUCAGCACUCCUGUUAGGGUACCGGUUUUCAAGUUCUUCCAUAUGCAUGUCGAUGAAAGGCUGGACCUCGUACAUAUGUUGCAGCACCAUUGUAUGUGUUCUCAUAUAGUCGUCCUCUCUCCCCAAUGAAUACACAUCUAGAACCUUCCGGCCAAGCCCACCUUCACCUUCUAGUUUGACCUUAUGUCGUGAUUCGGGUACUCCUAUGGGUUUGUGAUCCGCCAACCAAUCAGUGGCGUACUCCACACACUCUUCUACAUGGUAGCCUUGCAUGAUGCUACCUUCCGGAUGCCCUCUGAUACGAACAUACCGCUUCAGCACCGCGUUGUAUCGUUCGGGCCCAUACAUGUUGUGCAGAAAGGAGGGCCCUAGUAGGAUUAUCUCGUCGGUGAUAUGGACCAUCAGAUGUACCAUGAUAUCAAAGAAUGUUGGAGGGAAGAACAUCUCACAUUCACACAAAAUUUAUAUCAUUGAAUCCUUCAGCUGGAGGCAGCGUUCCACCGUGAUGGACUUUUGCCCGAUUGUGUCAAAGAAGUCACAAAGCUUCAUGACCGUCUCUCUGAUCCAUGGCUCCAUGGCACCUCUUAUUGCAACUGGAAGUAACUGCGUGAUAAUCACGUGGCAGUCAUGAGACUUCAUGCCAACAAGCUUGUGACUCUUCAUGUCAACGAGUCUCUUGAUGAUGGACGAGUAGUUGGAUGGAACUUUUAUGCUGUGGAGACACUGGCACAUUCUGUGUAACUCGGCUUUGCUCAAGGUGUAACACACAGGUUUACAUCGUGUCGUUAUCGUGACUUCACCAUUGUGGUCUUCCGGUGACUCUUCCUCUACCGCCCACAGCUUCUUCCUUAUGCCCAAGAACUCCAGGUCCUUCCGUGCCUUUGGCCCAUCUUUUGUCUUGUCUGCAUUGUUCAUUAGCAAGCCCAACAAGGUGUCGCACACGUUCUUCUCGACGUGCAUGACAUCUAUGGUGUGACGGCUUUGUAAGAAUUUCCAGUAAGGCAGGUCCCAAAACACCGACCUUCUUUUCCACACAGGUCCAUCGCCAUCCUUCUCUUUCGCUUGCGGAUUUGCUUUCCCGGCAACAACUUCCAAGUUCCUAAAAAUUUCAUAGAUUUUGCGCUCAGUCUUUUCCCUGGGCUUCGGGCGAGGCUCUGUCCUCCCAUUGAAGUUUUUCUUGUCCUUCCUCCAUGGGUCAUCGCGUUGCAACCACUUUCGGUGUCCCAUGUACACAAUCUUCCGUGAAACUGGCAGCCUCUGUGAGUUCGUUUCAUCCCGCACUUUGUACACGCUUUGUACCCAUGUGUGCGUUGGCAAGAUGCGUUCCCGUUCGCAGGGUAGUCAUGCACACAUGUCAGCAGAGCUGCCCAAAGGGUGAACUCCUCCUUCUUGUGAGCGUCCCAAACCUUUCGGCCCGUACUCCAAAGUUCCGCAAGUUCAUCUUUCAGUAGCUCCAGAUACACGUUCAGAUCAGCUCCCGGUUGCUUAGGGCCUUGUAUGAGCAUGGAUAGGUGGAUGUACUUCCUCUUCAUGAUAAGCCACGGAGGAAGGUUGUAUAUGAACAGGAUCGCCGGCCAUGUGCUGUGUUUGCUGCUCAUGUUUCCGAACGGAUUAAUUCCGCCCGUACUCAUCCCGAACCUGAUGUUCCUGGGCUCUGCGCCGAAGUCUGGAAACUUCUUGUCCAGGGUCCUCCAUCGAGCCACAUCGGCGGGGUGUCUAAGUACACCAUCGUCGAUACGGUACACCCCAUCAAGAUCGAUAUCCUUAUGAGUCGAGUCGUGGAAGAUGAACAAUCUGGCCUCCUUCUCGUUUUGAAACCAACGCUCCAGCCGCCUACCACACGGGAGGUACCAUACCGUCUUCGCUGCUGGACCACAAGUCACUUCUUCCUUUGGGAGGCCCUCAGGAUUGGGGUCUUUCUUCCUGUACCAGGAUGUUUCGCAUACUGGACAGCUGUGCAUGUCUUUGUAGUCACCCUUGUAUAUGAUGCAGUCCAACGGACAAACAUGGUAUCUGACAACCUCUAACCCGAGGGGACAUGCAACCUUCUUCGCUUCGUACGUGCUCUUAUGCAACAUGUUGCCCGCGGGAAGAACUGUAGAAAGGUAACUCAAAAUAUCCGUGAAUCCCGAGUCCACGAUGUUAUAUUUUGCCUUCAUUCGGAGAAGUUCGAGCGUUACUUCCAGCACACUUUUGUCCGGCCCUGCAUUUCCAUAAAAUGGUGUCUCUGCGUCCUCCCUCAGCUUUUGGAAUUUACGGGACACUAUCUCAUCGUCAACGUCAUCUAACUGUUUACGCAGGUGCACAUCAUCUAGCAUUUCGGCCACCCUGCCUUGCGGAACUUCUUGAUCUUCGCCACGGCAUGGUUCGUCAGGUGGAUCAUCAUGCUCCAUGUUCUCCAUUUCUGGGUCGCUUUCAACUUCAAUGGCAUCCUCGCCGUGACAAGUCCAACGUGAAUAACCCAACAAAAAACCGUGUAGGGGCAAGUGCAACUCCACAUUGCUUGGCAGAAGCAUCAUUGUGUUACGACAAUUGCUACAUGGACAACAUGUCAUGCCGUCCCCUUUUCUCAGCAUAUGUUCCGUGCCGACAUCAGUGAAGUCUUUCAGUUUUCUUAUCCACUCUUCGCAAUUUCUUGUCUCAUCGUACAUCCAAGCACGGCUCAUCGAGCUAAAACACGAUAAACAAACAUAAAUCAAGUUACAUAUAGUAUCACACAAAAUUUCGGCAUGACCUUUGCUAUAAAAUUUACAAAUUUUGCAAAAAAAUUGUCAAAUAAACACCCACCCACACCCACAUGUGAACACAAAUGGCACGAUGGCCGCGGAACAUGCACAUUCAACUCAUAUUUUAUUGAGAGAGAGCUUAAUUAAUCACAGAGAGAGGGGAGCAGAGAGAGAAAGGGGACCAGAGAGACAGAGGGGAGGUGGCGCACGCAGCAACCAGAGAGACGAUAGAGGGGAGGGAGAAACGGAGCUAGGGGAAGAGUGGGGGCCUCCCAAGCAAGGGGGCCGGCCGGGAUAGCUCCUGGAGAGAGAUCGAGCUCUCCCGGCCGCCGGCGCCAUUUCAGCCACAUCGAGGAAGAAGAGAAGAGAGGAAGGAGCUAGAGGAAAGGAGAGGGAGAGGAGGAGGAAGGAGAGGGAAAGGGAGCAACCUUCCAACCUCCAGUGCCAUGGAAUUUUGGCAGAGCUUCGCCGUCGCCUGUGUUGAGGAGCCGCAGCUGGUCCAGAGACGCGCGAGCUGAGGAAGAUAAGGCCACAGUGACUUUGCUUUAUAGAUAACUUACCAGUGGCGGUUCAAAAGAAUCAGCCCGCCACUGGUAACCGGGAUGGGAAUCUCUGAGGAGCACUAGUGGCGGUUAACUGAUGCGGCCACUGGUACUAGGAGCACUAGUGGCGGUGAAAGCCGCAUGAGUGCUGGCACUACCACUAGUGCUCCACUAACAGCGGCGGUGGAAGCUAACCGCCACUGGUACUCGUUUCAGAUUCUUCCAGCUAAAGCACCGGUGGCGGUGCUGCUCGUGCGAGUGCUUUCACCGCCACCGGUGCUCCACUAGCAGUGGCGGUGGUUGCUCAUCACCACUGGUAUUCGUUUUGGAUUCCUCCAACGACGUCCAGUGGCGGUGAAUUUUUUGGACCAGCUGUACCGCCACUGGAGCUCGUGCGCCAGUAACCCAUUAUGGCGUAGUGGUCACUAACGACACCUAAUGACCUUUUUGGAGAAAUGGUCAUAAACUGUUAUGAACGAUUAGGAUCGUUAUAAAUUUUAUGAUCAAUUUUUUGGUUGCUAGUCCACCCUAGACACAUAGGAUCCGAUGUGGCAACCUUAGUGACGAAAUUAAAUGGCCGUAAACCAAAUUUGGCCCGGUCUAGGUUGUUUGUCCAUAUAUGUGGGCCAAGCCCAAAAAAUCAUUCUAUUUUAUCAGUCCACUCUGGUCUGCUAAAUGGGCCAUGACCAUCAUUUUGGCCCACGUUUUAUGACCCAUUUGUUCAAUUCCAACCAUUUUUAUUUACUUUUUCCCAAUUCAAGUCCAAUAUUAAUUUGGCCAAGGCCUUUUUAUAAUUUAUAGUCCAGUCUAUUACUAUUUUAAUAAAUAUACUGCUCUUAUGUCGAAUAUUGUUUGGUUCGUUGGUUUCUAAGCAAAGUAUAUUUUUGGCCCAUAUGUCCAAAGUUCAUUCUUUGGACAAUUUUGCUAACAAAGCAGCAAUCACUGAGAAAAUCAACACUCACACAGGAAAACAACACAUGAUUAUAAACAUUUGCAGCAUUUCAUGCUUGUAACUUCAGCACAUUACAUUUUAUUUCAACUUAAUAUAUCAGACUACAUGAAAGAGAUACAACUCAAAGUAUAAUUAAUUAAACACUUGCAAAGAGUAGAGGCAACACUUGGCUCAAGAUAGGCAGCGACAACCUAAGAAAAUAAAAGACAAUGCAGAGAGAAAAAACUAUAAACAUGAAACUAAGCCCCCGAGGGUCA